AUAGAAGCAUUGUUAGCUGUACAUGUCUGCCUGGCAUGGUUCAUCUGACCUUGACCUCAUUUUCAAGGUUCAUUGGUCUUUGUUUAGUUAUCUUGGUUAAUGUUAAGUUUAUGUGACAGUUGUAAUAAAGCUUAGCUUUAUACUUAGGACUAUCAACAUAAUAUCAAUGAUUAGUAUAGAAGGCGAGACAUUUCAGCGUGUGCACUCUUGUUAUUGUAUAUGUUGCUGAUGAAUAUGAGAUGUAAAGCUAAAUGUUAUAUUAUUUAUAAAGUUGUAAUAUGGUGC
rnacentral:lncRNA from 1 species